GAGUACCAGGAGGGGUACCAGGAGGAGUACCAGGAGGAGUACCAGGAGGAGUGCCGGGAGGAGUACCAGGAGGGUUACCGUACUCUGCUGCUGCAAAAGCUGCCAAAUACGGUUUGUAGACAUUUCUUUUAUUGAGCUUGUCAUUCUUCUUUGGGUCAGUCUGUAUUCUUAGCAGUAAUUGUUUAAUGUAGUCAACAGUUUGGUUUGCAUAUUAAAAUUGCAGGAGUACCAGGAGGAUUACCAGGAGGAGUACCAGGUGGGGUACCAGGAGGAGUACCAGGUGGGGUACCAGGAGGAGUACCAGGUGGGGUACCAGGAGGAGUACCGGGAGGAGUUCCAGGAGGAGUACCGUACUCUGCUGCUGCAAAAGCUGCUAAAUAUGGUAUGUAGACAUUUCUUGAGCUUGCCAGUCUUCUUUGGGUCAGUCUGGAUUCUUAGCAGUAGACGUGUAAUGUAGUUAACAGUUUGGUUUGCACAUUUAAAUUGCAGGAGUACCAGGAGGAGUAGGAGGAGUACCAGGAGGAGUGCCUGGAGGAGUACCAGGAGGAGUACCGUACUCUGCUGCUGCAAAAGCUGCCAAAUAUGGAGUUGCAGGAGGUGCAGGAACAGGGUUAGGACCAGGAGGAGUAGGAGGAGCAGGAGGACUAGCAGGAUUUGGGCCACACUCUGCUGCUGCUAAAGCUGCCAAAUAUGGAGUUGCAGGUGGUGCAGGAGCAGGGUUAGGAGUUGGAGGUCUAGGAGGUGUAGGAGGAGUACCAGGAGGUGGACAAUACUCUGCUGCCGCAAAAGCUGCUAAAUAUGGAACAGCAGUUGGAGGAGUUCCUGGUGGUGUACCUGGAGGUGUUGGAGUUGGAGGAUAUCCAGGCGGUGUAAAACCACCAAAAUAUGGAGGUGGACUCCUUGUGCCAGGAGGGACUCCAGACACAACCGGCAGUGGUGCUCCAAAUGACUCUGUGCCAGUAAAGGAUGUGGGUCUAUCUGGAACUCCUCAGCCAGGGCCCACACCUUUAGCCCCAGUUGCCCAGCCCCCAGACGUCCCACAGCCCAGAGUUGCUGGUGGAAUUAUCCAACCUAGUGCUGGGACAGGUGUUGGUGGAGUUGCAGCACCCUCUGGUGGUGUUGGAACAGGUCAAGGUCAACCUGUCGCUACUGGAGUCCAACAGCCUGGAGGUGUUGGCACAGGUGCUAAAGCACCCAAACCAUUCUUACCAGGUAAGGAAAUGCUACACCUCCCUACUGUAAUCAUACUGUAUUAUAAUAUGUGCUAUGUUCAACAUUGGACGAUCCUCAAGGGUCCUCCAGCGAAAAUGUCCUCCCACCAAUAG
rnacentral:lncRNA from 1 species